rnacentral:rRNA from 1 species
GUCGAACGAUGAAGCCAGCUUGCUGGUGGAUUAGUGGCGAACGGGUGAGUAACACGUGAGUAACCUGCCCUUGACUCUGGGAUAAGCCUGGGAAACCGGGUCUAAUACUGGAUACGACCUUCCCACGCAUGUGGUGUUGGUGGAAAGCUUUUGUGGUUUUGGAUGGACUCGCGGCCUAUCAGCUUGUUGGUGGGGUAAUGGCCUACCAAGGCGACGACGGGUAGCCGGCCUGAGAGGGUGACCGGCCACACUGGGACUGAGACACGGCCCAGACUCCUACGGGAGGCAGCAGUGGGGAAUAUUGCACAAUGGGCGCAAGCCUGAUGCAGCGACGCCGCGUGAGGGAUGAAGGCCUUCGGGUUGUAAACCUCUUUCAGUAGGGAAGAAGCCGGCCCUUUGGGUUGGUGACGGUACCUGCAGAAGAAGCGCCGGCUAACUACGUGCCAGCC